ensembl:lncRNA
AGAGAAGAGUAGGGACUGCUAAGGGAAAACUGGCUGCUGUUAGCACUGAAAACAAUAAACAGAUUCCGAAUCUGAGCCAAGCAGCAAGUAAUUUGCCCUUCUGUCCUCCGCAUCCCUAUUCUUCAAGCUGUUUUCCUGCCCUUCUCAAAAACCGACUCUCCAGCCAUUCUGGAAAGACUGCGGGCUGGCCACCGGCAAGUUCGAGAUGGAAUUCAGUAUUGGAGGGGUCACAAUAUGGCUGCUGAAGCUCCAAGAUUCACCUCCAGAUGCCAUAAUGCUUGGAGAUGAAAGAGAAUAUCUUUUCCCGUGGUGAUUCACAGGAUUAAAGAAAUCUCCGACCCUCCUUUAUGUGUCUUUGACUGUAACUGAACUACACUCCCAUUCCCCCUAAACAAAUCAGAGCCUUGGGAUAUGGAAUCGUCAGCCUGAAUGCUAUCAGGGGAGUCUGCUGCACAGUGAGGCGUUCCCAUGGCAACCUCCUGGUGACACAAAGCAGCUCUUCCUCCCAGAAUGGGCAGCCUUCUUCCUCGUCUCCUGGAGAAGGCACAGCAGUGGUGCACCAGAGCUGUCAGCACCCUGGACAGAAGACUACAGUUUGGCCAGCAGCCCCCUCUCUUAACUCACUUAGUCCUCGGGCUGCCUCUGGAGGAUGUGGCUGGAGGAUUCUGACAUAACAGUCAUCCCUCAAUAUCC